rnacentral:rRNA from 1 species
GUAGUUAGCCGUGGCUUCCUCCUUAGGUACCGUCAUUAUCGUCCCUAAAGACAGAGCUUUACAAUCCGAAGACCUUCAUCACUCACGCGGCGUUGCUGCAUCAGGGUUUCCCCCAUUGUGCAAUAUUCCCCACUGCUGCCUCCCGUAGGAGUCUGGACCGUGUCUCAGUUCCAGUGUGGCCGAUCAGCCUCUCAGCUCGGCUACCCAUCGUCGACUUGGUGGGCCGUUACCCCGCCAACUAUCUAAUGGGACGCGAACCCCUCCUUCUGCGGAUUGCUCCUUUGACCUCUCUGCCAUGCGACAGUGUGGUCUUAUGCGGUAUUAGCACUUGUUUCCAGGUGUUAUCCCCCUCAAAGGUCAGGUUGUUCACGCGUUACUCACCCGUUCGCCACUAGAUGUAAAACCGAAUCUUACAUCCCGUUCGACUUGCAUGUGUUAGGCACGCCGCCAGCGUUCGUCCUGAACCAGAUCAAAUUCUGA